rnacentral:rRNA from 1 species
GACGAACGCUGGCGGCGUGCCUAAUACAUGCAAGUUGAGCGCUGAAGGUUGGUACUUGUACCGACUGGAUGAGCAGCGAACGGGUGAGUAACGCGUGGGGAAUCUGCCUUUGAGCGGGGGACAACAUUUGGAAACGAAUGCUAAUACCGCAUAAAAACCUUAAACACAAGUUUUAAGUUUGAAAGAUGCAAUUGCAUCACUCAAAGAUGAUCCCGCGUUGUAUUAGCUAGUUGGUGAGGUAAAGGCUCACCAAGGCGAUGAUACAUAGCCGACCUGAGAGGGUGGUCGGCCACAUUGGGACUGAGACACGGCCCAAACGCCUACGGGAGGCAGCAGUAGGGAAUCGUCGGCAAGGGACGAAAGUCUGACCGAGCAACGCCGCGUGAGUGAAGAAGGUUGUCGGAUCGUAAAACUCUGUUGGUAGAGAAGAACGUGGGUGAGAGUGGAAAGCUCAUCAAGUGACGGUAACUACCCAGAAAGGGACGGCUAACUACGUG